rnacentral:lncRNA from 10 species
UCUGUUGAAGAUGAGGAGUCCUUGGAGAGCAGGAUGGUGGUGACAUUCCUGUCAGCUCUCGACUCCAUGAUGGGAUCUUGCUGUGUUGCUCAGGAUGUUGUCAGACUCCUGGCCUCAAGUGAUCAUUCUGCCUCAGCUUCCCAAAGUGCUUGGAUUAUAUGUAUGUGGGAGCCACCUGUGUUCAAUGCCCAUUUUCUUUUUCUUUCUUUCUUUUGGAGACGGACUCUCACUCUGUCAUGCAGGCUGGAAUGCAGUGGUGUGAUCUCAGCUGACUGCAACCUCCACCUCCCUGGUUCAAGCAACUCCCCUGCCUCAGCCUCCCGACUAGCUGGAAUUACAGGCCCAUGUCACCACUCUCAGCUAAUAUUCUUGUAUUUUUAGUAGAGACAGAGUUUCAGUAUGUUGGCCAGACUGGUCUCGAACUCCUGAAAUCAGGCAAUCCACCCACCUUGGCCUCCCAGUGUGCUGAGAUCAGAGGCGUGAGUCACCACACCAUGCCCAGCCAUUUUUAAAAUAAUAACGUUAUUGAAAUAUGAUUAACGUAUCAUGCAAUUCAUUUAUCAAAGUACACAAUUCAGGCCAGGUGCAGUGGCUAAUUCCUAUAACGCUAAGACUUUGGGCAGCUGAGGCAGGUGGAUCGCUUGUGUUCAGGAGUUUGCGACUAGCCUGGGCAACAUGGCAAAACAGCAUCUCUAGCAAAAAUACAAAAAUUAGCUUGGUGUGGUGGCUCAUGCCUGUAGUCCCAACUACUUGGGGACAUGAGACUGGAAGAUCACUUGAGCCCAGAAGCCAUAGGUUGCAGUGAGACCAGAUGGCACCACUGCACUACAGCAUGGGUGACAAAAGGAGACCGUCUUUAAAUAACUAAAGAAAAAAAGAAAGUAUACAAUUGAGUGGUUUUUAGAAUAUUCAAGGAGCUGUGCAUCCAUCACCACAGUCUUUCUUAGAAGUGAUUACCCACUUGUGAGUUACCCACUUAUGAGUGAGAAACCCUCACCUCUUAGCCGCUACCUCCUACGUACCCCAUGUUCAUAGGCAACCAGUGAUUUAUUUUCUGUCAUUGUAGUUUUGCCUAAUCUGGACCUUUUAUAGAAAUAGAAUUGUACAAUGUGUGAUCUUUUGUAAUUUGCUUUUUUUUCUCUUAGCAGAAUGUUUUCAAAUUUCUUUCAUGUUAUAGUGUGUAUCAGGAUUUCUUUCCUUUUGUAGCUGAGUAAUAUUUUAUGUUUAUCCAUUCAUUAGUUGAUGGACAUUUGUGUUGUUUUUGCGUAUUCACCAUCAUGAGUCAGGCUGCUAUGAACACUCGUACGUAAGUUUUAGUGUGAACAUAUAUUUUUAUUUCUCUUGGAUUUACACUCAGGAGUGAAAUUGUUGCAUUAUGUGAUUACUAUACAUUUAGUCUUUGAGAAACUGCCACGUUGUUUUUCAAAGUGGUUACACUGGUCAGGCACAGUGGCUCACACCUUUAAUCUCAGGUAUUUGAGACGCUGAGUUUGGAGGAUUUUCUUAGCUCGGGAGUUCAGGACCACCCUGGGCAACAUAGGGAAACAAUAUCUUGAUUUUUUAAAAAAAUCAAAUGCCAAGAAAACACCCAAAUUGAUUACACCAUUUUAUAUUCCCACCAGUAAUGUAUGUGAGUUCCAAGUAUUCCAAUUGUCACCAACUUUUUUUUUUUUUUUGAGACAAAAUCUUGCUCUGUUGCGCAGGCUGGAGUGCAGUGACAUGAACAUGGCCAGUGCAGCUGUGACCUUCCAGGCACAAGUGAUCCUCUCACCUCAGCCUCCUAAGUAGCUGGGACUUACAGGUGCAUGCUAUCAUGAGCAGCUGAUUUUUACAGUUUUUGGUAGAAAUGGGGUGUUGUCAUGUAGCCCAGGUUUGUGUCAAACUCCUGAGCUCAAGUGAUCUGCCUGCUUCAGCUUCCGGAAGUGCUGAGAUUACAGGUGUGUGCCACCAUGCCCGACUGGUGUAACCACUUUGGAAAGCAGCCACUGAGCCCGGCCUUCACCAGUAUACCAAUAUUUGUUAAUAUCGUUUUAUUUUUUACAAUUUUUAAAUUUUUAAAAACUUAUUAUUUUACCUGUAUUAUUGAUUAUAAUAAACAACGAAUAAUUUUGUAGUAGAGUUGAGUCCCCCCAAAAAGUAUUUAUUGUUUAACUGAAGUAGUUUUUUUUUUAACCUGGAUAUAUAUUUUUUCAUUUUCACUUUAUUUUUAGUGUUUAUUUUUAAAAAUUAUUUAUAUGUAUUUUUAUUUUAAUAGGUGUUUGAGAAACAGGUGGUGUUUGGUUCCAUGAAUAAGUUCUUCAGUGUUUAUUUCUGAAAUGUAGUACCCCUCAUUACUCAUUAAAUUAUAUAUUAAGUCAUUAUAAAAUCAUUAAUAAACCAAGGACUUUAGUAAAAUGGGAAUUUUAUUUUAACUUGCAACCUGGGACGUAACUGUCAAAAAAAUUAGAGAAAUUACCACAUUAAGGUUUUCAAAUCUUGAACUGAAAAAUGAAAACCUUGGUGCACCUAAGAACCACCAGCCCACUGGUCAAAGUGAACAAAACUAAAUGAAAAAAUAAAACCAAGAAAACCAAACUCAGGAUUAUUAGGUAUUCUGUAAUGCUAUUUUAUCUUUGGACUCACAGAAAAUAAUUAUUAUUAUUAUUACUAUUAUUAUUAUUAUUAUUAUUUUGAUAUGGAGCCUCACUCUGUCACCCAGGCUGGAGUGCAGUGGUGCAAUCUUGGCUCACUGCAACCUCUGCCUCCUGGGUUCAAGUGAUUCUCCUGCCUCAGCCUUCAGAGUAGUUGGGAUUACAGGCAGGUUCCACCAUGCCUGGCUAACUUGUAUUUUUGAUAGAGACAGGGUUUCACCAUGUUGGCCAGGCUGGUCUGAAACUCCUGAUCUCAAGCAAUCUGCCUACCUCAGCCUCCCAAAGUGCUGGAAUUACAGGCAUGAGCCACUGUGCUCAGCUGAAAAUAGUUAAUUUUAUGUAUAUUUCAAGUCAGAAUACAACCUAUUUUUGAAUAUUUGAUGACUUUAGGAUACUAUAUUAAAUCUUAAUUGAAUUAAUACAAGUUUAGGUGUAAAGA